CAUUACCGAGUUUACAACUCCCAAACCCCUGUGAACAUACCACUUGUUGCCUCGGCGGAUCAGCCCGCUCCCGGUAAAACGGGACGGCCCGCCAGAGGACCCCUAAACUCUGUUUCUAUAUGUAACUUCUGAGUAAAACCAUAAAUAAAUCAAAACUUUCAACAACGGAUCUCUUGGUUCUGGCAUCGAUGAAGAACGCAGCAAAAUGCGAUAAGUAAUGUGAAUUGCAGAAUUCAGUGAAUCAUCGAAUCUUUGAACGCACAUUGCGCCCGCCAGUAUUCUGGCGGGCAUGCCUGUUCGAGCGUCAUUUCAACCCUCAAGCACAGCUUGGUGUUGGGACUCGCGUUAAUUCGCGUUCCUCAAAUUGAUUGGCGGUCACGUCGAGCUUCCAUAGCGUAGUAGUAAAACCCUCGUUACUGGUAAUCGUCGCGGCCACGCCGUUAAACCCCAACUUCUGAAUGUUGACCUCGGAUCAGGUAGGAAUACCCG
rnacentral:rRNA from 1 species